AGCGAACGCUGGCGGCAGGCCUAACACAUGCAAGUCGAGCGCCGUAGCAAUACGGAGCGGCAGACGGGAGAGUAACACGUGGGAACGUGCCCUUUGGUUCGGAACAACCCAGGGAAACUUGGGCUAAUACCGGAUAAGCCCUUACGGGGAAAGAUUUAUCGCCGAAGGAUCGGCCCGCGUCUGAUUAGCUAGUUGGUGGGGUAAUGGCCCACCAAGGCGACGAUCAGUAGCUGGUCUGAGAGGAUGAUCAGCCUCACUGGGACUGAGACACGGCCCAGACUCCUACGGGAGGCAGCAGUGGGGAAUAUUGGACAAUGGGCGCAAGCCUAAUCCAGCCAUGCCGCGUGGGUGAUGAAGGCCCUAGGGUUGUAAAGCCCUUUCGGCGGGGAAGAUAAUGACGGUACCCGCAGAAGAAGCCACGGCUAACUUCGUGCCAGCCGCCGCGGUAA
rnacentral:rRNA from 1 species